rnacentral:rRNA from 1 species
ACGGGAGGCAGCAGUAAGGAAUAUUGGUCAAUGGACGCAAGUCUGAACCAGCCAUGCCGCGUGGAGGAUGAAGGUCCUCUGGAUUGUAAACUUCUUUUAUUUGGGAAGAAAUCUAUCUUUUCUUGGAUAGUUGACGGUACCAGAUGAAUAAGCACCGGCUAACUCCGUGCCAGCAGCCGCGGUAAUACGGAGGGUGCAAGCGUUAUCCGGAUUCACUGGGUUUAAAGGGUGCGUAGGUGGGCAAGUAAGUCAGUGGUGAAAUCUCCGGGCUUAACCCGGAAACUGCCAUUGAUACUAUUUGUCUUGAAUAUCCUGGAGGUGAGCGGAAUAUGUCAUGUAGCGGUGAAAUGCUUAGAUAUGACAUAGAACACCCAUUGCGAAGGCAGCUCACUACGGGAUUAUUGACACUGAGGCACGAAAGCGUGGGGAUCAAACAGGAUUAGAUACCCUGGUA